UGAUCCUGGAGACUUAGCCUCAGGGGCCACAGGGCCCAUGGAUCAUUUUUAGUCUGUAUAGGAGUGAGGUCUUUGCUUUAUCCUGAAGCUCGCCUUCUAGAAAAUGUAUCAUGGGGAAAAGCAAAAAUCCUGGAGGCAGACCCAGAAAACACGGGCUGCCAAGGGUCAAGCAUGUAUUCUUGAUUCUUAGCCUGAACCCCCACAGGCCUGUCCGUGGGUAGAAACUGCUUGCCCUGUCCAGAGUACACUUGGCUCCUGCUUCUUAGACUGGGCUCAGCGGUUGAGACCAUGUGAAAGAGCUGGGCAGGACUCCAGCCUUCCACAUGUGGCGUUCUUGGGCCUAUGUUGGCUCUACCCCAUUCUGUGGGAGAAAAACCUUGGCUCUCCUGGAUGUAAAAAUUCCUUUUGUAAUUGGAGCUCGAGUCGGAAAAGCCUGUUGCCAGCACCUUCGAAGGGACUAGAUUCCUUUGGGUCUUCCCAGCAGAGUCCAGCCUGACGUCAAGACCCCAAUGGCUAACGAAGCUAACCCUUGCCCAUGUGACAUUGGUCACAGGCUAGACUAUGGUGGCAUGGGCCAGGAAGUUCAGGUUGAGCACAUCAAGGCAUAUGUCACCCGGUCCCCUGUGGAUGCAGGCAAAGCUGUGAUUGUUGUCCAGGAUAUAUUUGGCUGGCAGCUGUCCAACACCAGGUAUAUGGCUGACAUGAUUGCUGGAAAUGGAU
rnacentral:lncRNA from 1 species